UGAACACACCAGAAAUUUGUCAUUGCCAUCUCAACCAAAACUGGCAUUAGCAAUGUAAAAAUCCCAAAACAUCUUAUUGAUGCUCACUUCGAGAAGCAGUUGCAGAAGCCCAGACACCAGGAAGGUGAGAUCUCUGACACAGAAAAAGAGAACUACAAGACUACAGAGCAGUGCAAGAUUGAUCAGAAAGCUGUGGACUCACAAAUUGUACGAAAAAUCAAAGCUAUUCCUCAGCUCCAGGGCUACCUGCGAUCUGUGUUUGCCCUGACGAAUGGAAUUUAUCCUCACAAAUUGGUGUUUUAA
rnacentral:lncRNA from 1 species